AUUGAACGCUGGCGGCAUGCCUUCCACAUGCAAGUCGAACGAGUGUAGCAAUACACAAGUGGCGAACGGGUGAGUAAUGCAUCGGAACGUAUCCUAUUGUGGGGGAUAACGUAGCGAAAGUUACCCUAAUACCGCAUACGAUCUGAGGAUGAAAGCGGUGGACCGUAAGGCCUCGCGCGAUCGGCGCGGCCGAUGUCAGAUUAGGUAGUUGGUGGGGUAAAGGCUCACCAAGCCAACGAUCUGUAGCUGGUCUGAGAGGACGACCAGCCACACUGGGACUGAGACACGGCCCAGACUCCUACGGGAGGAAGCAGUGGGGAAUUUUGGACAAUGGGCGAAAGCCUGAUCCAGCAAUGCCGCGUGCAGGAAGAAGGCCUUCGGGUUGUAAACUGCUUUUGUACGGAGCGAAAAGGCUCUCUCUAAUACAGGGGGCUCAUGACGGUACCGUAAGAAUAAGCACCGGCUAACUACGUGCCAGCCGCCGCGGUAA
rnacentral:rRNA from 1 species